rnacentral:rRNA from 1 species
GAUGAACGCUGGCGGCGUGCCUAAUACAUGCAAGUCGAGCGAACGGACGAGAAGCUUGCUUCUCUGAUGUUAGCGGCGGACGGGUGAGUAACACGUGGAUAACCUACCUAUAAGACUGGGAUAACUUCGGGAAACCGGAGCUAAUACCGGAUAAUAUUUUGAACCGCAUGGUUCAAAAGUGAAAGACGGUCUUGCUGUCACUUAUAGAUGGAUCCGCGCUGCAUUAGCUAGUUGGUAAGGUAACGGCUUACCAAGGCAACGAUACAUAGCCGACCUGAGAGGGUGAUCGGCCACACUGGAACUGAGACACGGUCCAGACUCCUACGGGAGGCAGCAGUAGGGAGUCUUCCGCAAUGGGCGAAAGCCUGACGGAGCAACGCCGCGUGAGUGAUGAAGGUCUUCGGAUCGUAAAACUCUGUUAUUAGGGAAGAACAUAUGUGUAAGUAACUGUGCACAUCUUGACGGUACCUAAUCAGAAAGCCACGGCUAACUACGUG